AAAUUGUAAAACAAUUUUUUUUUUUGUAACAAGAAAAAAAUGUUAGAACGACACUUAUUAUGAAACAGAGGGAGAUAGUAAAUACUACUAGUUGAGCAUUACCAAUACUCCCUUUUGUUUCUUACCAUAAACUCACCAAACUUAACCAUCGCAAAUAUUUAUGUAUCAAAAACAACUGAAUAAAAUUAUAUAUUUCCAAACUAGAACCGGGUUGGGUACGUAAUGGUGUCUCUAUAUAUAUAUACACACAUAAUUUCUAUAACAACUAGUUGAAUAUUGCUCCACCUCUUUGUAUGCUUUUUGAUAUUCGGAGGAAGACAUACAAAAAGAAAAAGAAAAAUAAAUUUUACGCCUUAACAUUUUUUUUUUUUUUUUUUUUUUUGGGCAACUGAAAUUCAUUAAGAGGGUGGUGUGAAAACUAGUUGGGCCUUGACCCAGAGUUCAACAAGAGAUGGGCUUUAGCAAUAGAAUCUGCAAGACCGUUUUACGCGUUAACAUUUCAAAAAUAGUAAAUGAGACAUUUUGGUAAUCUCUCUUGUGAUUCUUUGACAAACGGAAGUCGACUUCUAAGACACAGACAAAUUUUCCAGACAUGUCAUUUGUCAAUUUUUCUCAUCUCUCUCCAGUAGAGUAGAAGAAAGAGACCACAAGUCACAAGCGCACCUCAAAAUAAAAAAGAAGCAAUCAUCUUCUUCCAGAAUGUGGUGUUUCCUUUUUUUUUAACUUUCAUUUCUUUUGAGGUCAGUUUUUUUCUGUCUUCUUCCUUAUUCUUUUUUUUUUUCUGUUGAGCGAGUUACAUUUGGAAUUUUAUCUCUCUUUUUCCAUUAUAGUCCUUAUGAUGUUUUGGAUACAUUCGACCAUGUCCUUGUUUUCGGGGGUGCAUCAGUUUAAUGUAUAUACUAGUGACUUUUGGCUUUUCAUAAACAAGAUAAAGGUUCACGGGUUUUACUGCAGAUUUAAUUUAAGUGUUGGUUGAAAUGUCUCAGUGUACCACCAUCUCCUAUGUUAUGGCCGCUACUUCUUCCAUCCGGUAACUUUUUCUAUGGACUCAUAUCAAAUUAACUGGAAGAUAAUUUUUGGUUCCAUUUGAAGUUUCUUCAUAGAAGUCAAUGUAUUAAUAGAAUAUAUAUACCCUCAUUCUAGCGACUGUAUUGGUGAUUUCUGAGUAGUCCAGAGUACCAAUAUCACGAGCAAUACAUGAUAGGGUUUGUUCAGACCAUAGAUGUAACGGCACACCUUGUACCUGAAUCCAGAAUGGGAUCUGGCUUGGGAAGGUUGGAGAGAACGAGGGCUCCCAUCUUUGAAUGAUAAUCAUCCAAUGUGAUAUGGUUGGUUUUCCAGAACUUUCAAGAGAUCUCUUUCUGACGCAAACUGGAAUUGGAAGCAGCCUUGGCCCAAGUCUGCACCUAUAGGUCGAGAUUCGCACUUCCAGUGGUCAGAGAGGAAGGUAUGAGGGACCAGACUUGCUGACUUUAGGGUUUGUUAGUCUACCCACCAGCGUAAGAGCAUGCUUUCUGAUAAGUUCUGAUGUGUCGAAAGAGGGGAUUCUGACUCUAGCUGUUCGUGGGGGAAGAGGUGGCUCCACUGGACCUUUCCCUUUCUCUGCAUAGGAGAGUCUUCGAUGCAUAACUUCUCACACGGAUCAGAAGAGUAAUGGUUAUAGACAGGUGUGGAGUAAGAGAAGAUGAUUCUUCCUGUCAAGACAAAAGAGGGUUGGGAGCUGUUUGAAAAUGCUUUUUCUAGGAUCUGAUUCUUCAAGUAGAGAGAUAGAUCUUGGACUGCAUGGUAGUUGAAACAGUUUCAUGAGCUAUGCAUAAGGGUCGUCGCCGGUAAGGAUGAAGGGAGCAUCGGUCCCUCCGACCACGGGUCGGGGAAAGAACCCGGCGUGUAAGAGGCAGAGACUCGCUUGUAACUGAAGGAUAAUCCCAAAGAGGGAAAAUUUGAAAUAAUCAGCUUAAAACUCAGCGGUUAAAGCAGCUGUGCAGGGAAGGUUCCUUGGUUAACGGUUACUCUUGAGAAACGUGCCUUGGAGAGGAAAGCAUGUAUGAUGUAUAGAGUGUAGUGUUUAUUAUAUGAAGUUUUUUACAUUCCAGACAUUCGCUAGCCAGUCAGGAGCAGCAACUUGAUUUGUGGGAGCUUCAGCGGUGUGAGCUUCCGAUUGAAUCAGGAGUAGGCCCGAGACCUUUAGCGAUUGAAGAGCCUCUGGGGCCGGGCCCAUUGGUCUGACCUGUUCACAGUGUGAGAGCCAUGGGUCAUCCCAGACAUUAAUCUCCUCUCCUGUUCCGACCAUCCAGCCUAGUUGCUUCACCAGGAGGUCUCUACCAAUCAAGACACUUCUCCAGCCAUGCAAGGAUGAUGAUGUGGGUUGGCAUUUAAGGAAAGAUUCAGCUUGGCAGUACUUUCCAAGGAGACAGCGAGCUAGUAGACAUGUGGGAUUCUUUAUAAUCCUCCAUCCAAUCUUGGCCAGUAAGGCAUCAUUGAAGGUUCUGAAUCCCACCAGAAUCUUGUCAGUGUUGAUUGGAUGCACUCUUUAUAAUGGUUAGUCUACUAAUUUAGGGAUCAAUAUGAAGUUUUACUAGAUUAAUUGAUAAAAAAUUAGAAAGAUGCCCAUGUACCAUGAAAGAGAGUUUAAAAUACAUUAAUACAAAUCUAGAAUGUGGUUAGAAAUUUUAAUACAACACUAAAAAGUAUAAGCUUCAAUAUAUAGAGCGUCUAACGUAAAACUC